CUCCCUGCGAGCUCUCCUUCCAACCAGGGCGUUGUUUGAGGUAAAGAUUGGUCUUGCUUAGCCCUGCAGCAGGGUGUAGGGGACAGUCCCAUAGGCUCAAAAGGCUCUACCUAGUAAGGCCUUCCUACCUCCAGGGACCUCUCCUGUGCUGCUAUUGCCCAGGGAGGAGGAAGGAUGAUGCUUCUCUGCUGUGACCUUUCUGCUAGGAAAGCUCUCAGUUGCUCACAGCCUGGAAUACAUAACGUGAUAUUUACUGGAAAGGUGACCUGCAUUAACUGCUAAGGUCAAGUGCACUGUUGGGGGAUGGAACCCUGCGACAAAGAAGCAGGAUUACAGCUACCCAUCCCCCAGGAGUGUGAACUGAAUCCAGAAAGGUUGAGAACCUUCUCUUGGGCAAUGUCCACAGCUUCCUGUCAUCGAUGGCGGCUUCCUUCACCUGCAAGUUUCCUGUCAGGAGUAAACAAAGCCCCGACAAAGUCAGUGAUGACUCUGCUGAACUAUUCCUGUAAACUCUAUCUUCUUGACACCUGAGGCCGAAGUUUCUACUGCCUUACCUUACCUCGUGUUCUGCCAAGCAUGAGUCUUUGGAGGGCCUCUGUAAAUGUGUCUGACCAACCCAACCGGCCAAUUCUGUUUGCAGAUUCCUGAGCAGCCCCAUGGUGCAAGGGAGGACUGAGAGCCUAGGCAUCAGUAUGCUGCCGUGGAGAAACGAGCGGCCCACAUGGGUACAGACAGAGCUCGAGCGUCCUCUGUUCUCAUAGCCCUGGCUUGCAAGCGCUCCAUGGAGACUGUCCCUGCCUGGGACAGCAGGUGUGUGUGUCAGCUGUACGUGUGACAGUGGCCCUGCUAAGCGGAUCGGUCUUCCCGGACGCGGGUCCUGCCUUCUGAGCCACAGCUCCUUCCUGUCCCCUGCUUUCUUGUGGCUCUCACUGAGGCCGCACAUGUUUGACAAGAGGAGGGAGACCAGCUUCCAGAACUCGAGACCCGAUCGCAUUCUGUCCUCACCGCUAACGGAGUUGUCCCUUCUCCCGUGAUGCUCAGCUCAUGCUCAGUGGUCUUUGUCUUUGAGUUACUGUAGCCUGGGUGAUGCCCCUUCUGGGAGAUUGUGGGCAGCCGCGUCCUCUCUCCUGGUAGAGGGCCAUAAAAGCCCUCUUGGCUCCAUGGUGUCCUCAGGUAGAUUGACUUCCAUCCUCCAUCACUGUCAAGAUGACCAAAGCCACCAUCUUUGAAAGUGUCCAGAAGGGGCUUGGGAGUGUCCCUGAGCUGCAGUGGGGAGCAGCGCAUUGUAAGAUCCAGUGUAUUAAAAAACCUCAACUGAGCCUUGAGGCUUCGGCUCCAGAUGAAGUGCUGCCUCUUCGGGUAUUUAUCACGGUCUGUGCGCCACCUAGAGGCCUCUGUCUGAAACUCGUCCUACGGCCAACCCGGCUGUCCCCAGCAGAAGACUGAACUCAGAGUAUGCUUUGUUUUUGUCCCCGUCUUUCCAAAUUUGGGAUGUUGUGAUCCCACAUACUCCUCUCAGCACUCCUGGAUGUGGAGGAGGCUAGGCCCCCCCGAGGCCUUUCCAGUAUGUCCCAGCUGCCAGCUGUACCAAAGCAGAAGACUGUUCUAAUGUUUUCUCAGCAAGGAAGGAUCUAAGACUGAUGAGGGGAUGUAGUGGGACUUCCCAGUCCCCGUGCCCCCCCCCACCACACACACACCCGGGAGCUGUCCACCCACACAUGAGCAGCCCUCCCAGCCAUGAUUUUCCCAUGAGUCCCCAGGACUGAAGACCCCUUCCCAUGAGUCACCCUCCCAGGACCGGGUCUUUUCUACACAACUCACAUUAGCAGCCGUCCACAGCAGGUGACGCUGCUCCAGGAACGCUGACACCAAACCAGUAGUGAGCAUGCUCCUUGGUCUGCUUCCCCACGGUAAAGUGCGAACAAUACAAAAUGCACCGUUUGGGCCAUCUUUUGAUGGACGGCUUACAGGGAUUCAGCGUCUUCUCAAUGCUCUGUCGCCAUCAUGGCUACCCAUUCCCAGACAUUUCACUGAACUCCAAACAAAAAACUCUGCCCCAUGAAACACCAAUUCCCCCCGUACUUCAUCCUCCCCAGCGCCUAGGGACCUCUGUCUGUCUUCCUGUCUCUCUGGACUUGCCUAUUCCAGGUAUUGCACACAAGUGAUAUCAAAUUUAGCCGAGUAAUUUUAGUUGUGGCCAAUUUACUUCAGCUUUAUAGGCCUGGCUUCCCUUUCCACCCUCUCCGUAAACAAAACAGGAAAAGAAGGAACAUAACUGACUUAACCUUGCUGGCGCCCCACCCUGGCCACACUCUCUGGCUGGGUGUGAUCCUGGAAAUGGAUUCAGCCAUCUGGCAAGAAGUCUCCGGGCAGAAGAGUCCAUUGUUUGAAGCUUAGAGGUCUUAAUGUCUUAGCUGGCAUUUCCUGGCCUGGCUUUAAAGGGAUCCAAAGAAGGCUGUCACUGUGUGUUAUAGACUAACAAAGAAACGCGCACAGAGGCUCAUAUUUCAAAGGUUUGGUCCAUCUGGUGGCAGUGUUUUGGGAGAUUUUGGAGGUGAGGCCUAGCUGGGUACAGGCCCUCACGGGAACAUUAUCACCUCUGGUCUCAUUCUCUGCCCCUGAUGCAGCUGCCUCGAUGUAACUGGAUUUCUCCACCACCACCCCCCACCGCAAUGGACUGAACCAUCCUAAAUCAUGCGCCCCAAUAAAGCCCCUCUCCUUCAAACUGCUUUUCUCAGGCUCUUGGUCAUAGCAAUACAAAGGUAACUAAUACUCUGUGAGAGAUGACAGGGGGCUGGCUGCCGUGAUAUCUUGUUUGUACUCUAGCAAGUAAAGCUUGCCUGAAGAUCAGAGGGCGAAGCUAGCCUCUAGCUAACCAUAGAGGUCUGGAGGUUUGUACAGACGGACAGGAAGUGAGAUGGCUGGGCAGAGAGAGGACUACAGGCUGGAGGGCAGAGGAACUCGGGGCUCUUUUCUGUCUGAGGAUGUCAUAGAGGUAAGAGCUCUGAUCGUUCAAGCGUUCACCCCCUGAUAACCGACUCCAGGUUUUUGUUAUUAAGAUCAAUUAGAAUUUGUGCUACAGUUGGCCCAGCACAAAUGUUGGUAAGGAGGGAAUCUGGCCAUGGGGGCUUGAGGCCUUGAGGGCCAGGGCUCAUUUGGUGUCAGGUGCAUCCUGGUCGGAGGGUGAUCCAAUGGGUUGUCUGUUCCUAAAAGACCAUAUGAGAUGUUUUCCCUGAUGAUGCCUGGUCAAAUUACAUACCUGUGCAAUGGUGCACUGGGAGCAUUAACUACAUAAGGAAUUUUGUGUCCUUUAUGUCAAAAGUGGAGACUUUCUCAUUCCAGGCCUUUCAGGCACUAACAGCCCGAAUUCCACCCAGAUGUCUUUGUAUUUAUGGUUAUUAAAACUUCCUUUUUAAAAAUUUCCACUUUUGUCCAACCUAACAGAAAGGUUAAAAAUUACAACAUGAGCAGAACGUGGGAGGUACUUAAGAAUGAAAAUAGGGGUAAAUUGAAAUCAAUAAAGUUUUGUAGAUUA